GCUGUAGGAACAUAUAUGGAGAACCUAUCCUCAUGGUGUCUCUUUCUGUCCUCCCUUUCAGCGACCCCCACUGCCCCUACUGUGUUCCCGUUGUGUCCCUGUCAUCAGGAUCUAUCCACCGUCUCUGAGGUGACCAUUGGAUGUUUGGUCACAGGCUACUUUCCCGAACCGGUGACAGUGCAAUGGAAUUCAGGAGCCAUCUCCACCGGCAUCCGGACCUUCCCAGCCAUGAUGCUCUCUUCCAGUGGGCACUACACCCUCAGCAGCCAGCUCACCAUUCCCAUCUCUCGCUGGGAGUCGGGGAACUUCCAGUGCAAUGUGGACCAUACAGCGACCAGAUCAAAAAUCAACAAACAGGUUGAACGUGGAUCAUCCUGCAAGACAACCAGAACCACACCAGUAGCCCCUGUGGUCAGCCUGCUCCACUCUUCCUGUAAUUCCCAGUCCUCUGAUGCCCUCAUUCAAAUGGUCUGCCUUGUCAAAGGCUUCAGUCCCAAAGAGGUGACAGUAGAGUGGCUUACCGGUGACCAAACGGGGCUGCUGUCCUCAUACACAGAGGAACCCAGGAAAGACGAAAAUGGGCACACCUUCAGUACCAUCAGCACAGCCAACAUCAGCCAAUCAGAUUGGCAAGAUGGGGCUGCAGUUACCUGCCAGGUAACCCACCCGGCAACCAGCACAAAGGUGAAGAGCACUGCCAAGAAAUGCGAAGGAUCCUCCUCAGAUAUUAGAGUCUUCAUCCGGCGCCCGGACCCCAACGACGUCUUUCUGGAGAGACGUCCCAAGCUCACCUGUGUGAUUAACAACUUGCAGAGCGAUCAUGGACUGGUAGUCAGCUGGUCUCGGGAAAAGAGUGGCCAACUGGUUGUUGAACCCAUCGAAGUGAAAGAUGAGGUGAACGGCACCCUCACCGCUUUUAGCAAGUUGAUCCUCUUUGAUCAAGAAUGGCUGUCAGGAGAGACCUUUACUUGCACCGUGAAACAUCCAGACCUGCUUCUCCCGAAGACCGCCAGGAUUAGCAAGAAACAAGAGGCAGCCACCGCUCCCAAAUUGUAUCUUUAUCGUCCCCACCAUGAAGAGCUCAUCUCUAACGGCAGACAUGUCUCCGUCACCGCCAUGGUCAAAGGGUUCAAGCCCAACGAAAUCAGCCUGAGCUGGCUCAAGGGCAACGAAGCCCUUCCCGAAGACAACUUCGUCACCUCCCCGGUCCUCAGCGACGGCGACGGCACCUACGUUCAGUUCAGCAAACUCAAAGUGCUCAAGUCCGAAUGGAACCGAGGCGACUCCUUCUCUUGCAUGGUGGUCCACGAAGGCCUGCGGAUGAAAUUCAUCCAGAAAAACAUCGAGAAGUCCCAGGGUGGAAGUUUUCUGUUUAUGGGACCUGGAAGUAACAUUUCUUUAUCCUCCUCAGUGACAAUUAUGUCCAUGGACAUGGAUGAAAGCCACGAAGGAGACGAAAUAGAAAGUCUCUGGACCACCCUCUUGAUUUUCUUCAUUCUGUUCCUCCUCAGCGUGUGCUACAGUGCCUCAGUGACGAUGUUCAAGGUGAAAUGGCUUUUCUCCAUGGUGGUGCAGCUGAAAAAGCAGCCUUCGGGCCCUGAAUACAAGAACGUACUCCAUCACGCAAUGUAAGAACAUGUUCCUGCCCGUCUUUAUUGGAGGUUGAAAGAGGAAGUCACAGCUCAGCUCUACAUCUUCCGUGGUGGAUACUCCACCAUCUUGUCUCAGCUUUUUGUCCCAUUCCAUGAAAAGAGGGGAGGCAUUUUUUACCCAAGGACCUUUUAAGAAAGGAAGCAAAUGUGCUUGAACUAUGGAUCAGGAUCUGUCACUAGGUGACAUCUGUUUACAUGGUGCCUUCAAGAAUGAAAACUCUUUGGUCUUUAAAUGGAAAUGGUUUCUACCCACCUUUAGACUCUGGAACUCCCUCCCACUGGAGGCCAAGCUGGCCCCAUCUUUGCUCUCCU